GCCGAUGCCGCUUACGUACAGAGUGACGGUGUGAAUGGAAAGCACGGUUGUUGGGUCUGCAGUGGGGUGUGUGCUGGAAAGAUGAAGAAGCGAGCGACGGUCCGUAUGUCCAUGUUUUGUCCGGAUGGCUCCCCUACACCAAUUGGCAUGGACAGAAACAUCACUAAAAGAGCAGCUGGAAGGUCGUCCAAGAAAGUUGCUGAGUUCAACAAGCUGUCGCGGCGGCGGCCGGAGCCGGCGUCGGAGCGC